rnacentral:rRNA from 1 species
GACCGGCGCACGGGUGCGUAACGCGUAUGCAACCUACCUUUAACAGGGGGAGUAACACUGAGAAAUUGGUACUAAUACCCCAUAAUAUCAUAGAAAGGCAUCUUUUAUGGUUGAAAAUUCCGAUGGUUAGAGAUGGGCAUGCGUUGUAUUAGCUAGUUGGUGGGGUAACGGCUCACCAAGGCGACGAUACAUAGGGGGACUGAGAGGUUAACCCCCCACACUGGUACUGAGACACGGACCAG